AAUCUUCCACGAUGGACGAAAGUCUGCUGGAGCAACGCCGCGUGAGUGAAGAAGGUUCGCGGAACGUCAAGCUCUGUUGUACGGGAAGAACAAGUACAGGAGUAACUGUCUGUACCGUGCCGGUACCUUACCAGAAAGCCACGUCUAACUCCGUGCCAGCUGCCGCGGUAAUACGUAGGUAGCAAGCGUUGUCCGGAAUUAUUGGGCGUAAAGCGCGCGCAGGCGGUCCUUUAAGUCUGAUGUGAAAGCCCACGGCUCAACCGUGGAGGGUCAUUGGAAACUGGAGGACUUGAGUACAGAAGAGGAAAGCGGAAUUCCACGUGUAGCGGUGAAAUGCGUAGAGAUGUGGAGGAACACCAGUGGCGAAGGCGGCUUUCUGGUCUGUAACUGACGCUGAGGCGCGAAAGCGUGGGGAGCAAACA
rnacentral:rRNA from 1 species